rnacentral:rRNA from 1 species
UACGGAAUGUGCAAACGUUAUUCGGAAUCACUGGCUUAAAGAGUCCGUAGGCGGCAUGUUAGGUGAGGUGUGAAAUCCCCCGGCUCAACCGUGGAAUUGCGCUUCAAACCGGCGUGCUAGAGGAAGAAUAGAGGUGGGCGGAACUGAUGGUGGAGCGGUGAAAUGCGUUGAUAGUCAAUCAGGAACACCGGAGGCGAAAGCGGCC